UACGUAGGGUGCAAGCGUUGUCCGGAAUUAUUGGGCGUAAAGAGCUCGUAGGCGGUCUGUCGCGUCCGCUGUGAAAACUCAGGGCUUAACCCUGAGCUUGCAGUGGGUACGGGCAGACUAGAGUGCGGUAGGGGAGUGGGGAAUUCCUGGUGUAGCGGUGGAAUGCGCAGAUAUCAGGAAGAACACCCGUGGCUAAGGCGGUUCUCUAGUACGGUAGCUGACGCUGAGACGCGAAAGCGUGGGGAGCGAACAGG
rnacentral:rRNA from 1 species